AGUGGGUGUAAUGUACCUACUAGCCUACGACGGGUACGGGUUGUGAGAGCAAGAGCCCGGAGAUGGAUUCUGAGACACGAAUCCAGGCCCUACGGGGUGCAGCAGGCGCGAAAACUUUACAAUGCGGGAAACCGUGAUAAGGGAAUCUCGAGUGCCAGCAUAUAAUGUUGGCUGUCCAGAUGCCUAAAAAGCAUCUGUUAGCAAGGGCCGGGCAAGACCGGUGCCAGCCGCCGCGGUAACACCGGCGGCCCGAGUGGUAACCGCUAUUAUUGGGUCUAAAGGGUCUGUAGCCGGCCAGGUAAGUCCCUUGGGAAAUCUGGCAGCUCAACUGUCAGGCUGCUAGGGGAUACUGUUUGGCUUGGGACCGGGAGAGGUGAGAGGUACCUUGGGGGUAGGGGUGAAAUCUUGUGAUCCUCGGGGGACCACCAGUGGCGAAGGCGUCUCACCAGAACGGGUCCGACGGUAAGGGACGAAAGCUAGGGGCACGAACCGGAUUAGAU
rnacentral:rRNA from 1 species